UACGUAGGUGGCAAGCGUUGUCCGGAUUUAUUGGGUUUAAAGGGCGCGUAGGCGGUCAGCACAAGUCAGUUGUGAAAUCUCCGGGCUUAACUCGGAAAGGUCAACUGAUACUGUGCGACUAGAGUGCAGAAGGGGCAACUGGAAUUCUCGGUGUAGCGGUGAAAUGCGUAGAUAUCGAGAGGAACACCUGCGGCGAAGGCGGGUUGCUGGGCUGACACUGACGCUGAUGCGCGAAAGCCAGGGGAGCGAACGGG
rnacentral:rRNA from 1 species